ensembl:rRNA 5S_rRNA 5S ribosomal RNA
GUCUACAGCCAUACCACCCUGAAUGUGCCUGAUCUCAUCUGAUCUGAGAAGCUAAGCAGGGUCGGGCCUGCUUAGUACUUGGAUGGGAGACCACCUAGGAAUACUGGGUGCUGUAGGCU